UGAGGAACAUGACCUUCGGCGGGGGAUAGCCGGCCCAACGGCCGGGUAAUACCGCGUACGACCUUUCGGGGACAUCCCUGGAUGGUGAAAGCAGCAAUGCGCCGAUGGAGUGCCUCGCGGCCUAUCAGCUAGUUGGUGAGGUAACGGCUCACCAAGGCAACGGACGGGUAGCUGGUCUGAGAGGAUGGCCAGCCACAUUGGGACUGAGACACGGCCCAGACCUCCGUACGGGGAGCAG
rnacentral:rRNA from 1 species